AUUGAACGCUGGCGGCAGGCCUAACACAUGCCAGUCGAGCGGAUGAAGGGAGCUUGCUCCUGGAUUCAGCGGCGGACGGGUGAGUAAUGCCUAUGAAUCUGCCUGGCAGUGGGGGAUAACGUCCGGAAACGGGCGCUAAUACCGCAUACGUCCUGAGGGAGAAAGUGGGGGAUCUUCGGACCUCACGCUAUCAGAUGAUCCUAGGUCGGAUUAGCUAGUUGGUGGGGUAAAGGCCUACCAAGGCGACGAUCCGUAACUGGUCUGAGAGGAUGAUCAGUCACACUGGAGCUGAGACACGGUCCAGACUCCUACGGGAGGCAGCAGAGGGGAAUAGUGGACAAUAGGCGAAAGCCUUGUCCAGCCAUGCCGCGUGUGUGAAGGAGGUCUUGGGAUUGUAAAGCACGUUAAGUUGGGAGGAAGGGCAGUAAGUUAAUACCUUGCUGAUUUGACGGUACCUGCAGAAUAAGCACCGGCUAACUACGUG
rnacentral:rRNA from 1 species